UACGGAACUACCUCUCGCGUUAUGUUCCAAAUGAAGACCCGGAUAAGCCCUAUCCUUCUCUAACGCCAAGUCCCGUAUAACAGGACCUGGCGAAGUCCCUACUUCACGGGUGAUGAACACUCUCAGUAGAGCCUUCCUUCACCAGUUGCUGUCGUUGGUAGUGAAAGGAAGUCUAGAGGCGUCGAUUUGACAAUGUAGGGCGUGUGUCAGACUGCUUGACUUCGUGGAAAGACGGCGAAAGUUGGGGUGAUUUGUCGCUGUGGCGACCGUAGCGCCUUCCUUUGUCAAUUUUGUCCACGGAAAGGCCCCGGCCAGCAACCCAAUGUUGAUCACCCUACGUGCACAGAAUAGGAUGAGGAACAUGGCGCUUAGCGACCGGAAGUUUGUGGUUUCAAGUCGUCGCUAGUGCCCGGUGAUUCACCGAUUUCAAGGUAUCCUCCUGUCCAUCUCCAUUGCUUGUCGAGGAGUUGGUCUCACAGCGCUCUUGAUUUGUUUGAGGCAUUUAAUGACUUGAAAGUGGUGUGGCUAGUUGUGCGCGUAGCGGCGGUUUUUUCUCCUUAUUUUUGAGAAUGAGCAGGGAAAGUUCCGGUUUCACUCCACCGUCAAAAGGAGUAGGAAAUCUUUGCUUUGCGCUGGCCAUGUGUGCGGAUCUUGCCAGGUAUGGUUCCAACUAGGUAGCCCGUCGACUGUUGCACAUCUUCACAGCAGUGAAGACAUUAGACACCCUGCGACUGAGAAAAAGCAUCUCAAUUUUCUACUUACCUUUCCAUGGGCAGUGACGUCCAAUUUCAAUUGGGCUCUGACAGUUGCCUCUGUAAGGCGUGUUACACAGAUUGCUUGAGGCAUGCUCCAAAAAUGAUAGGAAGGCCAAGAUGGCAAAAACAUAGUCAACUAUGGCAUUGCCCCUUGUGUGAUAAAGAGUCCAACAAAGAUUGCAUGUGCAAAGACAUUUCUUCUUGGCACCUUCUGUCUGAUUUAAUGGAUGCACAGCCAGAAAUGCUGAAAGUCUAUUUUAAUCUGCAUGUUGAUUUUGAUUCAUGAAUUCAAAAGAUAAAGCUCUAUUUUUUAGUUAUGGGUGAUUUCUCAUUGCACAUGUGCAGUAAACGUAUACUGUAAUCUGCCCCAUGUGUUUGCCCUACUGAACUUUGAAUGCCCAGUUGAUUUCGCACCGAGGCAUCAGCACCCCUGGUGCUAUUACUAUUAGCACAGGUAAUAGGUCUUGUGGACUGUUCAAAGACUAGACAGAUUUGGGCGGGUCAAUGAAGUCCCGGAUGUUGCAUGGCAACACAUCAGGUUGUGUGUGUUGACCUGACCGUCUCUUGUGUUCAUAUACUGUUUGACGUUGACACUGCCGGCAGCAGAUCCUUCCUGAAUUGGCUCAUGGUCACAGCACACAAUUGAAGCUGCACAAAGGGCAAUCACUGUGAAGAUUCCUAGGUCGACAGCAGAAUCAGUAGGACAUGCUUUACUCUGCGUAGAUCACUAUGGGAGACUACCUGCUGGGGUGUGGUGCCUCCAAAGAAUAGAAACUUGUCCAUAACUUUCUUACGCAGGGCUGUGGAAGAAAAUAGAAAAUACUGGACUGUCAGCAAGGCACUGCCACUGUUAACAUACAAUUAGAAUUGUCGCUGUCUUCUACAAUUGAGAAUAUACAGACCUGUUGUCUUGUCUGCUGACUACAA